rnacentral:rRNA from 3 species
GGACUACCCGGGUUUCUAAUCCCGUUUGCUCCCCUGGCUUUCGCGCCUCAGCGUCAGAAGAGGUCCAGCACGUCGCUUUCGCCACCGGCGUUCCUUCCGAUAUCUACGCAUUUCACCGCUCCACCGGAAGUUCCACAUGCCCCUACCUCCCUCGAGAUCAUCAGUAUCCACGGCACUUCCCCAGUUGAGCUGGGGGAUUUCACCACGGACUGGAUGACCCGCCUACGCGCCCUUUAAGCCCAGUGAUUCCGAACAACGUUCGCACGGUUCGUCUUACCGCGGCGGCUGGCAC